AGUGAUCAUACAGAUCUGAUGAAAAAAUACUUUCCGGGAUAUUUCUCAGAAAAUCCUAGGUGGGAAAAAAAAACAAAUAUUCAAAUCAUUCUCAUGCAAAAUACAUGUUGAAAAAAGAGCCCUGUCAACUCCGCUGAGCAGUGUACAUGGAAGCAUAGCAUUGGCAUUGGUUCUGGGCCACCUGUCUCUGUCUCUUCUGGAAUGGCACUAACAAGGCUCAGCUCGCAGUCUGAUAAACCAGCAUCAGGCAAGAACUCAGUUUGGUGCCGCACCUGGCUAACUUCACAGUGGAAGAGGCACGUAUGAUCUGUCUUAAAGAAAAACAUCAUUGAAUCUUCAACCCAUGCUUGAGAGAGAACUUGCGGUGUGGCAGUGCACUCCCCACAGCUGGAGCAACAUGUUAUGAAACCAAACAUCACAGGGGAGGCAGAUGGGGAGUCAACUCUGAGUUACAAUGACGGACUUGCUGUGUUCAAUGAAAUGCCUUCCUUCAAAACCAGAGCCUAAGCCAACAACUUUCUGGUUCAUGUGGGAUGAGUCUGUGGACUGAUGAGCUUCCCUUGAGGUAGGGAGGCUCAGAGUCACACUAUCCUGAGCAAUUUUUGUUCAAUGACAGUCUGAAGAGCUAACCUUAUAUUUAAGCAAAACCAUGUAAGUAAAAAAAAAAAAAAAUUAAAGACCUAAAUGACUUCAGACUUUUUUAAAG